GACGAACGCUGGCGGCGUGCCUAAUACAUGCAAGUUGAGCGCUGAAGGUUGGUACUUGUACCAACUGGAUGAGCAGCGAACGGGUGAGUAACGCGUGGGGAAUCUGCCUUUGAGCGGGGGACAACAUUUGGAAACGAAUGCUAAUACCGCAUAAAAACUUUAAACACAAGUUUUAAGUUUGAAAGAUGCAAUUGCAUCACUCAAAGAUGAUCCCGCGUUGUAUUAGCUAGUUGGUGAGGUAAAGGCUCACCAAGGCGAUGAUACAUAGCCGACCUGAGAGGGUGAUCGGCCACAGUGGGACUGAGACACGGCCCAAACUCCUACGGGAGGCAGCAGUAGGGAAUCUUCGGCAAUGGACGAAAGUCUGACCAAGCAACGCCGCGUGAGUGAAGAAGGUUGUCGGAUCGUAAAACUCUGUUGGUAGAGAAGAACGUUGGUGAGAGUGGAAAGCUCAUCAAGUGACGGUAACUACCCAGAAAGGGACGGCUAACUACGUG
rnacentral:rRNA from 1 species